GACGAACGCUGGCGGCGUGCUUAACACAUGCAAGUCGAACGGUGAAGGGACUGGUUUUGCUGGUCCUGGAUGAGUGGCGAACGGGUGAGUAACACGUGAGUAACCUGCCCCCUUCUUCUGGAUAACCGCAUGAAAGUGUGGCUAAUACGGGAUAUUCUGGGUCUGUCGCAUGAUGGGCCUGGGAAAGAUUGCGCCUUUUUUGGUGUUUUUGGUGGGGGAUGGGCUCGCGGCCUAUCAGCUUGUUGGUGGGGUGAUGGCCUACCAAGGCGGUGACGGGUAGCCGGCCUGAGAGGGUGGACGGUCACACUGGGACUGAGACACGGCCCAGACUCCUACGGGAGGCAGCAGUGGGGAAUAUUGCACAAUGGGCGCAAGCCUGAUGCAGCGACGCCGCGUGAGGGAUGGAGGCCUUCGGGUUGUGAACCUCUUUCGCCAGUGAAGCAGGCCUGCCUCUUUGUGUGGGUGGGUUGACGGUAGCUGGAUAAGAAGCGCCGGCUAACUACGUG
rnacentral:rRNA from 1 species